rnacentral:lncRNA from 1 species
GGGGAAGUUGCUUCAACUGUAUUUGAGCUGAUGCUAAGUGAAGGUGUUGAAUUUGUGAAAGACAUCCAGAGAAGAGAUCCAGUCCACCCAGCAUCCCUAGAAUCGAGAUCAGCCCUCAGGAAGAACUUUGUAAAUACCAGUCUCUUGAGACACGUACAUGUGUGUGAGACCUGGGAUAUAGAGCCGGCAAGGCGUUGUUCUGGGAGGAAUAAUUCAGCAGUCGACAGCAUAGACAAGCAGAGUCUUAUAUACGAGGGGAGUACCUAAAAUACUCAGUUAUGAAAAUCGAGAAGUACGAAAAUUAUUGCGUAAAGGUCGUUUCUUCCUCCAAAAUACAAGGUAUCUAUUGGGCAAUAAGUUCGAGAAGUCUUGCGAUUACUGGUGCUGCAAUUUUUGUUGAGUCGUAUGUGAAAGGCGAUCGAGGAUGAUCAAACUGUUCUAUCUGAAAAGUUAUUUUGGUGUCGAAGACAGUCGUUGCGGUUUUAUACAUUUUAAGUGAGGGAAAUAGGGAGAAUGAGAGAGAGAGAAACGAAACAUCAACCAUUACCCAGUAAGACCAUAAAUGGUCAGCAGCAAAUCAACGUAGAGUACAUAAGUUAUUUCGACUUGCUGCUGAUGCCCCUAACGCAUCUCCCUUCAACACAUAAUCGAAGCAGAUCGAUCGUUCACCAUUAAAAAGUUAGUAGUGAAGAGCAAUCAUGAGCGGUUGCUCCUUCAGCGCAUUUCCACCCAAUCCCACUUCUUAAUUGCACUUAUUAUUUAUUUUGGUCACACGUGAGAGAAACGAAUGAAAAAUGCGAAAAGUACUUCUGCUACAUACAAAUAAGCUGGAUAAAAUAAUAAACGUUUGGGAAAUAAUUCUGUCGAAUAAGUAGUUAGUACUUACUAGAAAAAUUACUUGAAGAAGGUGAUGUUUAGGGAGAAAAUACUUGGUGUUACAAAGCGCCGAGUUGAUGUUAUUGGUAUUUUUUGUUUCUUGAAAGUUAUCGUUACAAUUUAAGUCGGAGGAGAGAGGUGGUUGAAAGUGAGGCGGCGGAGGCGUACAGAAAAAUCGAUUGAGUUCUGUUUGCUGUCGGAAUCGAGGGCGGAAAUGAGUUUGGAGUCUGAGAAAUAAUUCCGAAAACAGUUUGGAGACAAAUGCGUACCCCGAAAAAGUUUUGAGUUUACGUCCUUGAUGAAGUAUAAGAGGUGGAUAUGCAAUAUGAAAAAUCAAAAAGAAUCCGUUUUUCCCUCCUACCGUUUCAUCUGCCCACUUCAUGUUUUUUUUUGGAGUUUCUAAAGCGUCUUCAACUCCUGGAAAUCGGCCUCUACUUAAAGGACUAGCAAAUGUAUCCGUUAUAUUAUCGAAUGCCAAAUGAAUUGCUACUAGAGAAUAUAAUAUUUACGAAAUAUGCAAUGUGUACUAAUGGAUCUUCAAGGAAACAUUAUGCAACUAUUAGGCAUUUCCGUAUAAUUUUGAGUUCUAUUAAAAAAAGAUGAAUUUAGUGAUUCUUUUAAACAAUACUCAUGUGGAGUGACAAGGUAGAAUGGUAGAUUAUAUAACAAAACUUACAAUUAGUUUGAUCUGAAAAGGUGGCGUUUGCCGAUUCUAUUCAUCUAAGAGAUUUAACAUAAGUAGAUUUAAUAAUGCGAGUAUUACAUUUUCAAAAUCGAGAUGAAGAAUAAAAAGGUAUAAUUAACGAGAAGGUAUGAUUAGAAAAGAAUUUUUGAUGGAGCAGUCGCUUUUGUAUGAGAAAACACAAAUUUUAGAAGUUGAGCUAAACACUACAUUUCGGAAGAAGUUCCGCAUUGGUGUAAAGUACGACGUUGGAAAAUUCCCAUCAUAGAUCCACAUGCGAUUUAAAAAUUUUGCUUAUUAUGCAAUGGACUCACUACAAUUUUUUCAGAAAUGCGGUUACAGGUUGUUACAUGUUAGAAUGACCCUUUUGGAGUCCCGACAGAUUCAUUAAAAAGCUGUCCUCAAGGUCUUUGAAAUGGGAAUUAAAUGGACAUGUGCUUGAAAGAAUAUUGCGGCAAUCAUUAGUUUUCGAUUUUUUUAAGAAAAUUUUGAAAUUUCAUUUAUAACUUCAACUGUUACGUAAAAAAUUCCGCAGUGCAUUUUUUAGUUAACCGGCUUGUAUCUUCGUGGUUAAGUAUCGGACAUUUGUAUUGCAAAAUAAUAGCAAGUAGCAAUUAGUAAGGAAGUCUAUUGUGGUAAAAAUUGGAAUUUGCAACUUAAGUGGAAUGAACACUGAGCAUAUCAAUGGCAAACAUUUGUACUAUAAAUUUUGUCAAUAGACAUCGAUUUUUCGCUCUUCACGACCACCUGGAAUAUUCAGAAGAUGGGGUCAGAAUUUUAUUGGUGUAUUUUGCUAAUGCAUGAGGAUGAUAAGCAGUAAUAGAUAUGUACGUGAAGGACUGGUUAACUUGAAACCAUGGGGGAAAUGAAUAUUUGCUUUCCUACUGAUGAAACGUUGCAUAUGAAUUUGAAUUUACAAUUGCUAAAAAUGACAAUAAAUACUGUAUCAUGCCAAAAUCAAUGAAGAUUACCUAACUUCACUAAAUACAACGAACAUCAAUAUAGAUUACAUAUUUACACGGAGAAGAAAGUGGGAACAAAAGAAUUUAGAUACAUUAACACGUACCUAUGGAUGGAUGGAUUGAAAUUGAAGUCUUGUGUGAUAUAUAUGGAAUACCUUUGUGUAACGAAUGUCCAGAAGGGAUGAACGUAAAAAUAAUGAGUGCUAAAUAUAAUUUUGAAUUAAAAGUAUAAAUUUGGGUUAACAAUAAGUACUUACUUACAGAGAAUAUUUGUUGCAUAAAAUCGAUCUAGACGAAGAGUAAGGAGUGAGACAAUGAUUAUUCUAAAAGAUACAGAAAAUGAACCUACAUGAAAAAAAAAUAUUUAUGCAAAAAAGGCAGAAGGCAUGUAGACGGGUGAGGACUAACAUUUAGAAUAAAAUCUUGAACCCGAAAAGUGGUUAUAGAUGGAGGUAAUACGAAUUAAAUGUAAAUAGUCAUCGUGGUUAAUAGAGAUCGACUUGAUUAAAGCGACGAAAUAAGGGAAGGUAACUGACUGGCUGAAAACUAUGGAUAUGAGUGUGAAGAUGACGGGACGUGGAUGAAGACGGCGGACAUGGAUGACGACGACGGACAUGGAUGAAGACGGCGGACAUGGAUGAAGACGAAGGACAUGGAUGAAGACGAAGGACAUGGAUGAAGACGAAGGACAUGGAUGAAGACAACGGACAUGGAUGAAGACGAAGGACAUGGAUGAAGACAACGGACAUGGAUGAAGACGAAGGACGUGGAUGAAGACGAUGGACGUGGAUGAAGACGAUGGACGUGGAUGAAGACGAUGGACGUGGAUGAAGACGAUGGACGUGGAUGAAAACGAUAGACGUGGAUGAAGACGAUGGACGUGGAUGAAAACGAUAGACGUGGAUGAAAACGAUGGACGUGGAUGAAAACGAUGGACAUGGACGUGGAUGAAGAAGAUGAACAUGAGUGAAGACGAUGAACAUGGAUGAAGACGAUGAACAUGGAUGAAGACGAUGGACAUGGAUGAAGACGAUGAACAUGGAUGAAGACGAUGGACAUGGAUGAAGACGAUGGACAUAUAUGAAGACGAUGGACAUAUAUGAAGACGAUGGACAUAUAUGAAGACGAUGGACAUAUAUGAAGACGAUGGACAUAUAUGAAGACGAUGGACAUGGAUGACGACAGCGGAUCUGGAUUUAAGUGAUGGACAUGGCUAACGACGACAGGCAUAGAUGAAGACGAUGGACAUACAGGAAUGGAAGAUGACGAUGGGCAUGGAAGAUGACGACGGGCAUAGAAGAUGACGACGGACAUGGAAGAUGACGACGGACAUGGAAGAUGACGACGGACAUGGAAGAUGGCGACGGGCAUGGAAGAUGGCGACCGGCAUGGUAGAUGACGACGGGUAUGGAAGAUGGCGACGGGCAUGAAAGAUGACGACGAACAUAGAAGAUGACGACGGGAAUGGAAGAUGACGGGCAUGGAUAAUGACGACGGGCAUGGAAGAUGACGACGGGCAUGGAAGAUGACGACGGGAAUGGAUAAUGACGACGGGCAUGGAAGAUGACGACGGGAAUGGAUAAUGACGACGGGAAUGGAAGAUGACGGGCAUGGAUAAUGACGACGGGCAUGGAAGAUGACGACGGGCAUGGAAGAUGACGACGGGAAUGGAUAAUGACGACGGGCAUGGAAGAUGACGACGGGAAUGGAUAAUGACGACGGGAAUGGAUAAUGACGACGGGAAUGGAAGAUGAAGACGGGCAUGGAUAAUGACGACGGGAAUGGAAGAUGAAGACGGACAUGGAUGAUGAAGACGGGCAUGGAUGAUGAAGACGGGCAUGGAUGAUGAAGACGGGCAUGGAUGAUGAAGACGGGCAUGGAUGAUGACGACGGACAUGGAGGAUGACGACGGACAUGGAGGAUGACGACGGACAUGGAGGAUGACGGCGGACACGGACGAUGACGACGGACACGGUGGAUGACGACGGGCACGGAUGAUGACGACGGGCACGGAAGAUGACGACGGGCACGGAUGAUGACUGAAGUCGCCGGGAAUGGAUGAAGUCGCCGGGAAUGGAUGAAGUCGCCGGGAAUGGAUGAAGUCGACGGGAAUGGAUGAUGAACAUGGAAAUGGAUGGUGAAAGCAGAUAUGAGUGAAGAUGACCGGUAUGGGCAAAGAUCAACGAAAAUGGAUCAAGACAAAAGUGGGUGAUGACAGCAGUCACGGGCGAUAACGAUGGGUAUGCGAGAAGAGCGCGGAUUUGGAUCAUACGAUGGAUGUGGAAGAACAUGACGAACAUAAGAGAAGAUGGUCAAUACGACUAGUACUAGCGAACGAUGGACACGAGUGAAGACAUCAUACACGUAUGAUGGCGACAUACAGGAAUAAAGAUGGUCAAUGUGGGAGAAGACCGUGGAUAUAUGGAAGAAGAUGGCGGAUGUAUGGGAGAAGGCACCGGAUAUGAGUAAAGACGAUGGGUAUAAGUCGAAUGUGAGAGAAGACUUUGAGAACACAGCAGACGUUGGAGGACAUGGUGGGCGUAUGAGAAGACGACGGUCAUGUAUGAUGACCAUGGAAGCUGAAAGAAGGCGACGAACACGGACAACAGUCACAGAUGAAGACGGAGUAGGGCAAAGACGACGGAUAAUGGGAGAAGACUGCAGAUUUCGAAGAAGAUAUGGGAGAAGGCAAGUAUGUGUGAACACGUCGAAUGUGGGCAAAACUGCGGACUUAGGGAACAUGGUGGACGUAUGAGAUGAAGUCAAAGAAGACGACGAACACGGGUGAAGGUGAAGGGCACGGGCAAAGCCGAUGAGCAUAGUUGAGACACUCACUCAGGAAGAGAACGGACACAUGUGCAGACGGAGGACAUAUAUGGAGGCGGCAGAUAUUGGUGAAGGCGAUGGGUAAGCAAGAAGAGGAAGGUGUUUAAAACCCGCUACUGUUAAUACGUAAACACAUCAGAAUGUUGUGAUGGAAGAUGAUGUAAAUGGAUGAAGACGAUUUUCGUUGAUCGCGACGCUUCUCAAUGAGGACAACCUCUUGGAUGAGACGACGUUCUUGGGCGAGACGACGUUCUUGGGUAAGACGACGUUCUUGGGUAAGACGACGUUCUUGGGCGAGGCGACGUUCUUGGGCGAGGCGACGUUCUUGGGCGAGACGGCGUUCUUGUAGGAUGCCACGUUCCCGGUUGAAGACGACGCUCCAACUUGAAAACAACGGUUCCGGUAGAAGACGCGUUCCCGGUAGAAGACCACCUUGGUUGACGAUGUUCUUGGAUGAGACGACGAUCUUGGGUAAGACGACGAAGGAGAUGACGUUCCCGGUUGAAGACGACGGUCUCGGUUGAAGACGACGGUCCCAGUGGAAGACGACGGUCCCAGUGGAAUACGACGGCCCCAGUGGAAGACGAAGGUCCCAGUGGCAGAAGAUGACGUUCCCGGCAGAAGAAGAUGACGUUCCCGGCAGAAGAAGACGACGUUCCCGGCAGAAGAAGACGACGUUCCCGGCAGAAGAAGACGUUCUUGGGUGAUAUGACAUUCCCUGUUGAAGACAAAGGUCCCAGUAGGAGACACGUUCCCAGCAGAAGAAGACGACGUUCCCGGCAGAAGACGACGUUCCCGGUUGAAGACGACGUUCUUGGAUGAUACGACGUUCCCGGUUGAAGACAAAGGUCCCAGUAGGAGACACGUUCCCAGCAGAAGACGACGGUCCCGGUUGAAAACGAAUUUCCCAGUUGAAGACGACGUUCUUGGAGAAAAUGACGUUUUUGGAUGAGACGGCGUUCUUGUUGGAAGCCACGUUCCCGAUUGAAGACGACGCGCCAGGUUGAAAACGACGGUCCCGGUUGAAGACGACGUUCCCAGUGGAAGAUUACGUUCCCGGUGGAACACCACGUUCCUGGUGGAAGAAGAUGCUCCACCAAUUAUUUAGAAAAUUUGAACAUUCGGUAUUAUUUUUGGAAGUGAGUUCUAAAUUAUUAGAAAGUCGAAACGAAGGUAACGGGAACUUUAUAUGUUAUAAGGGAUGCGUAAAUGACUUAAUGAUAAAGGUAAAAUUUAUACACCGCGUGUGGUGUAAUGUGUUUACAUAAAAAAGUCGUUUUUAGGAACAAGUUAGAAAAAAAUGAAAAGCUGCCUUAUUGCCGUAAGGAAAAUGUUGAUCGGAAAUGUGCUGUUUAGUUCUUUAUUACGUUGUCAAGGUUGUGUUAAAUUGUUUGUUAUCUCUGUGUGGAAAGUCUAUUGAAAUUUAUUCCUAAAUUUUUGAGUGCAGUUAGAAGUUUGAAUAACGAGUACGAAGUUAUCGAUGAAAAUAACCAGAAUUUGUUUAGUUCUUAUUCACUACAACUCCAACUGUAAAACACUUUUAUUUUUCGGAUGGUCUUAUUUCUGUAAUUAAUUAAUUUCGCAUGCAGUGUGAUUUUUUUGAUUAACUGUGCUUGAAUUAUCUUAAGGUCACAUGUAGUUAUCUAGAAAUUUGUUUAGGGUAGCUUUUUUUACCUUUUUUCUUUCAGGCCUCUUUUUCAGUUAGUUGAAUGUGAUAAUGGUAGUUAGUGUUUGUUUUCGUGAAGUGAAAAUUUAAAUUACCAGUGAUCAUUUGUAAAGUUGAACCAACGCUUUGCUAUGGUAUGUCAUUUUUUUUUUCCAAUUUAUUAUUGUUUCGCCACUUCGAGUGGCCAUGGUAGGUUUUCUUCAGUUUCUGUUUAGAUGACGAGGAUACGAAACUCCUUCCACAUCAUGGUUUGUAAGUCACAACGCUAUUCUUCUUCCCUAUAUUAACCAAAUGAUACGAAGAAUCGAUAGUGAACAACGUCCAUUGAAAUUUGUACGAAGAUGUUCGUGUUAUUUUCGCCAAAUCAGGUCUCAAGUCUUUUUUUUUUUAUAUCUGAAUGUUACAAUGAGCAUCUUUACGUAAACACUAGCAUUUAUGUGGUGUAUUUUGGCCCCAUGUGGCCUAUUUGUUAAUUAUGACAUAGAUCUAUGUACAGAGUGCAAAACACCUAUCUGCUUCAUUCUUGAGCAUGGAUAACAGAUCUACCCUGCUUCAGGAGGAAGCUUAAUUCAGUCAAUCAUUCCAUCAAACUUUGACCAACACUGAUAAAAACAGGUAAAAGUCGUACAUACGCAAUUCAAAUAUGUUGACAGAUUGUCACGAGAAACUAAACUUCUUGUUCCUGCAUCAUCUGCACAAGAUACUCCCUCAACUUGCUAAGUUUUCUACUACAAGUAAUCAAAAUUGUUAAGAAACAGCUGUAAGAAGUCUGAAUAUGAAUUUGGUUGGAUGUUUGCAUGACAAAAUUUACUGUGUUUGCUUACACAAAUAAUGUAAUGAACUCGAGACUGACUACUUUAUGGCUUUAUGGUAUUAAAUUAGAUUGUAUGCAGUUUUUGUGUUGGACGAUAACUGUUUAGAUUUUCACAUCGAUAUUAAUGUUGGCGUUGACCUCCCACAGCUUUAUACCUACCUAACUGAUACGUGUAGGCACAUGUACGCUUAGCUGAAGAUUGGCUUGGAUUUGAUAAAGCAUAUAAAACGGUAUGAAAUUUUGGGUGCAUUUUUUUAACUAUUUGCAUUUGACUAUCUGUGGCCAUAAACCACGUGGCCACUUGAAUUGUCUCUUUUUGCAAUCUGUUGUGCAGACACUUGAUUAGAACAACCGUUGAUUGGGUACUAUGAUGGCAGACCUAGGACUAGCUAGCUGUUAUUAACCAGCCUGCCCAUAUGGCUUCGUAAAUUUUGAAUGCUUAUUAUGCGCCAGAGAACCUAAAAGCAGACCAUCUUCCCAUUUUAAGUGGAUCAAAUCAAAUUUUCUUCAAUGGAAGUCAUCCAAACAUACGCGGGCAUGUAAAAGGAUUCAAAACUGAUGGUUUUAAAAUCUACCAUAUCAAUGAUAUCAUUAGCAAGUCAACUGUAUUUCUGAAAGCGUUGUACUUGUAGGGUUUUUCCGAUGCAGCUACCACUGCGCUACAUUUCCAAUAGAGUCACGUUUGCGGCAUCUCAGUUCUCAUCUUGAAGAAGUUCCGCGCGGAGUUUAGGUAUGGGAAAUAAUAUAAACAUUCUCUAUCCGUUUAUUUUGCAGCGAAAUGUCAAGAGCAACGGUCAAUUGCUGUUUUCGCGAAAUAGUUCUCCCUUUCCACCCCCGCAAUACAUGAAUCGAAAUAUUUAAUCUUUAUAGAUAGAAGGCUAUGCGGAGCUGUAUGUAAAAAAUUGAUUUGUUUACCAGUUUAUUUUACAAUCAUCGUUUGCCACCUUAUGUGGCAUUUUGUACUUUAACAAAUUCGUCAACUUUAAGAUACAUUCUUUCAUCCCGAAACAAGGGUAAUUUAUUGAUUUGCGCUGCAAGAAUUCUCCAGCAUUCAUCACAAGCUGGAUACCUCACGGGCUGUGAAAGGGUAAAUCAGGGUUAAUUCAGUUGCAGUAACCAUUACAACAACCACCAGAUUGCGGAAUUUGUGUUCCACCUUGAAGAAGUUCCGCGCGGAAUUUAGGUAUGGGAAAUAGUAUAAACAUUCUCUAGCCGUUUAUUUUGUAGCGAAAUGUCAAGAGCAAAAGUCAAUUGCUGUUUUCGCGAAAUACUUUCCACUUUCCAUCCCCGCAAUACAUGAACCGAAAUGUUUAAUCUUUAUAGAUAGAAGGCUAUGCGGAGCUGUAUGUAAAAAAUUGAUUUGUUUACCAGUUUAUUUUACAAUCAUCGUUUGCCACCUUAUGUGGCAUUUUGUACUUUAACAAAUUCGUCAACUUUAAGAUACAUUUUUUCAUCCCGAAACAAGGUAGUUUAUUGAUUAGCCCUUCAAGAAUUAUCCAGCAUUCACCAUAAGCUGGAUAUUUCACAGGCUGUGAAAGGGUAAAUCAGGGUUAAUUCAGUUGCAGUAACCAUUACAACAACCACCAGAUUGCGGAAUUUCUGUUCCACCUUGAAGAAGUUCCGCGCGGAGUUUAGGUAUGGGAAAUAAUAUAAACAUUCUCUAGCCGUUUAUUUUGUAGCGAAAUGUCAAGAGCAACAGUCAAUUGCUAUUUUCGCGAAAUACUUUCCACUUUCCACCCCUGCAAUACAUGAAUCGAAAUAUUUAAUCUCUAUAGAUAGAAGGCUAUGCGGAGCUGUAUGUAAAAAAUUGAUUUUUUUACCAGAUUAUUUUACAAUCAUUGCCACCUUAUGUGGCAUUUUGUGCUUUAACAAAUUCGUCAACUUUAAGAUACAUUUUUUCAUCCCGAAACAAGGUAGUUUAUUGAUUAGCCCUUCAAGAAUUAUCCAGCAUUCACCAUAAGCUGGAUAUUUCACAGGCUGUGAAAGGGUAAAUCAGGGUUAAUUCAGUUGCAGUAACCAUUACAACAACCACCAGAUUGCGGAAUUUCUGUUCCACCUUGAAGAAGUUCCGCGCGGAGUUUAGGUAUGGGAAAUAAUAUAAACAUUCUCUAGCCGUUUAUUUUGUAGCGAAAUGUCAAGAGCAACAGUCAAUUGCUAUUUUCGCGAAAUACUUUCCACUUUCCACCCCUGCAAUACAUGAAUCGAAAUAUUUAAUCUCUAUAGAUAGAAGGCUAUGCGGAGCUGUAUGUAAAAAAUUGAUUUUUUUACCAGAUUAUUUUACAAUCAUUGCCACCUUAUGUGGCAUUUUGUGCUUUAACAAAUUCGUUAAGUUUAGGAUACAUUUUUUCAUCCCGAAACAAGGGUAAUUUAUUGAUUUGCGCUUCAAGAAUUAUCCAGCAUUCACCACAAGCUGGAUAUCUCACGGGCUGUGAAAGAGUAAAUCAGGGUUAUUCAGUUGCAGCAACCAUUACAAUACCAUUUCAACAACAACCAGAUUGCGGAAUUUCUGUUCCACCUUGAAGAAGUUCCGCGCGGAGUUUAGGUAUGAGAAAUAGUAUAAACAUUCUCUAGCCGUUUAUUUUGUAGCGAAAUGUCGAGAGCAACAUCAUAUACUGUUUUCGCGAAAUAAUUUCCAGCCCGCAAUUCGUGGAUCGAAACAUUUAAUCUUUAUAGAUAUCUAAUUUAGAGGAACUGUACGUAAAAAACUAACAUAUUUAUUAACUUGUUCAUUUUACAAUUCUUUUUUUGCCACCGUAUGUGGCAUUUAUUGCCGUAACGAGUUUAUCAGCUUCAGGAUAGGAAACUUUUGAUCCCGAAUCAGAACAAGUUUCCAGCAUUCACUCCAAAACAACGCGGGGUAUGAAAGGGUAAAUUUCGUGUGUGAUUAUGAAUGAAUUUUAUACACCUGUAGCCACCUUAUGUGACUACUUUAUUGUUUUGUAUUCUGUUGUUUAGAGAACGAUUACCCCAGAGCACGUCGUCAAUGUCGCAAGAUAUAUUACCUACUUCUAUAAAUUACGAGAACUGUAUGUAUUGUGGUUUCCAAAUGGUUUCAUAUUAAUUAGAUAAGUGUAGCCACCGUAUGUGGCUUCAUCGUUUUGUUUUUUUUUGCGCAGAGGCAGACUUAUGAAAACGAGUGAGUGCGUUCUACACUGACAAGUAAGGUCAACUUCAUCAAUAUAUGUUUUUAAAUGACUGAAAAAUAUUAGGUUUUCUUUUCUUAAUUUUGAUCACCACUGAGGUGAUCCCGUUACCACAAUUUUGUUGAAUGUGCAGGAUGGAGAUGACUAUCUUUGUCCGUCAAUGUGAACGAAAACUUUCCACGUCUUGGAAGUCCGGGAGACCACAACAUUUUUUCCUGUAGUAUUGUAUUGAAAAUCCGGUAAAAGUAAUUUUUUAUACAAAUAGAUAAGCAUAGCCACCUUAUGUGGCUUAAUUGUUUCUUUUUUGAGCGUAGAGGUCGUUUUCGUCGGUAAUUAUUUCGAGGAAACGAAGUGAAUAGAACACUUCACAUCAUUAUUUGUUUUGGCCUACAAAAGGUAGGUCGGCAUAUUCGUUUUUUUUGUUUAAUUAUAUCUCCAGGUUUUUAAAUCCCUGAGCUCGCCACAGCUCGUACUCUUCAAAGGGAAAGAAUAAGUAUUAUCAUAACGCUGUGCCGUCUGUAUUAUUCGUAAGUAGGUUCAUCAAUCCAUUACCAGAACGCUGCUGUUCAAUGUGCAGAUUGGAAAUGAAAAAUGUCCCCUUUCGAUUGAAAGAAAAUUCAGCGUUCGAUUUCGUGGAAGUCCUUGUGACUACAAUUUUUAUUUCCACCAGAACGUGACCAGGAUUUCGUAACAAUAUUUUCUAUUAGUUCCUUUAGUUUUCGCUCGGCUCAUCCGUGAUUAUUUGUUUAGGUAGUUUACGAAUAUAAAAAUAUUAGCGAAAUUGGUCCCAUUUGACAUUAAUACAUGUUACAAAAAUUAAGAAAAAUGAAGAAUCAGCAGUCCAAAGGAUAAUGCGUCAAGAGUCUGAUCUUCUAUUUCAACGAAAUCGAUUUUGAAGAUACUUGUGAAGAUGACCACUGCGACUAUGGACAACUGCAAUGAUUAAUAUCGUAAUUGUGCGUCGGUCAGUUUCUAAUUCACAGUGUUCUAGGAUGGUCAUUUAAUUUUUGAACCGAAAUUGAAACAAGUACAACAAAGAAAUUUGGAGAUCCCGAAACACGGCUUAUGAAGUGUUUAUUUCAUAGUCAAUAAAAUUACAAUACAUGCAUCAAUGGCCAGAUGAAUUAAAGAACGUCCUGAUUCAAUAAAAAAAAAACAAAGAAAUCUAAUAUUUGGUAGUGCUAUUCUGAAAUUUGACAUUCUAGGCUUUUAAAUAGUAAAAGUGGCAGGAAUUCGACGAAAAAGUAGUAGAAAAAUAACUAUCCAUACGUUGUAAAGCAGUUAGAUGAAUGACAAAUACCUCAUCAUUACCAUCAUCACCAUCGUAUGGUCGUCAGUCUUAAGACUAACUGGACACGCACUUACACACAUAAUAAUAAUUUCUUUGCAAGAAUAUCCCUUUUAAAUUCUAACAUUCUAGGAAGUAUUAGUUAAGUUAAUUUGAAAAGAAAAAUCGAAAAGAACGAUUGCAAUAAAUCCCAUACGUGAAAAACAAUUCCAGUGUACAUUGAGAGGGUGCAACGUUAAAAAUGUAAUCAAUAGUUUUGUCAAAACAAAUAAUAGAUGGUGUACGGAAACCAUUUAAGGCCAAUUUCGGAAACUGGUUGGUGAGAAGAACAUUAAAACUACAGAAGCGGAAACAAACUUUGAAAACUCCAUCAGUUUAUUACAUUUUUCUCAGGCGAUAAUAUUUUAGGAAAAACCUUCAGUAUUUAGUCGUUACAAUUUUAUGUGGAAUAUUCCAUGCAGGAUACGAAGAUUCAAGUUUAAAUGCCUUCUGACUGAAUUAGGAAUCGUAAUUUCCAAGAAAUUUGCACUCUAGUAUUACAAUGACCGGAUUAUUUUUUAAAAUUUUUGCGUACAAAUAAGGAAGAAAGUCCGGGUACGUUCGUUUGAUUUUCAGGUUUUUCAGCUUCAUCAAUCGGUCGAGAAAUGUUAAAAAUUAUAUGUGAAACCCGAAGAAAACUUGUCAGAAAACAGUAUAUAAGUAGCGAGUGUUAUGAAAGCGAAAAAUAAAAUUCCAUAAGUUUUUGAAAUGAAGAUAAGAAUGUAUAAGUCAUAUUGUAUUCAAAUGGUGCAGAGAAUUGAAAAGUAUUAGUCAAAAAUUCCAGAAAAUGGUUCUUCUCGUCUUUACUUUUAGGCCAUUUUAAAUAUAUAUCUAUUAAACAGUUUCCCAAUGAAAUAAAUUAAUAAUGUUAAAAUAAAUAAUGGAUGGAGUACGGAAUCCAUUUAAGACCAAUUUCGGGAACUGGUUGCCGAGAAGAGGACGAGAUAUGAACAUUAGAACUACAGAAGCGGAAACAAUUUUUAAAUUUUUCUCAGGCGAUAACAUUUUAGGAAAAUCCUUCAGUAUAUUCAUACAUAUUUAGUCGUUACAAUUUUAUGUGGAUUAUUCCAAGCAGGAAAUGAAGAUUCAAGUUUAAAUGUCUACUAACUGAAUUUGGAAUCGUAGUUUUUAAUAAAUUUGGUAUUCUACCAUUAUGAUGACCGAAAUUAUUUUUUAAAAUUUUUGCGCAUAAACAAGAAAGGAAGUCCGGGUACGUUCGUUUGAUUUUCAGGUUUUUCAGCUUCAUCAAUCGGUCGAAAAAUGUUAAAAAUUAUAUAUACAACCCGAAGGAAUCUUUUCGAACAGUAUAGAUAUAAUUAGCGAGCAUUAUAAAAGCGGAAAAUAAAAUUCCAUAAGUUCUUGAAAUGAAGAUAAGAAUGUAUAAGUCAUGUUGUAUUCAAAUGGUGUACAGAAAUUAGUCAAAAAUUCCAGAAAAUGGUUCUUCUCGUCUUUAGUUUUAAAUAUUUAUAAACAGUUUCCCAAUGAAAUAAAUUGAUAAUUAGUGAAGGCGUAUCAAGAAAUAAUUGGUGAGAUUAUCCAACGAAAGUACGAAUCUUUUACAGAAACAAUUACAUCAAAAAGAAAAUCGUCGAAAGAUAGGCCGACUUAAAGGGUAGGUGCUUUUUUGUUUUUCGGUUAUUUGUAGGGUUUUCAAAAAUUCGAGGCGGUUAUUAGACGACUUAAUUUAACGUAAUAUGCACAUUGAUACCCCAUGGAUUCACCAUGAGAAUUAUGAAUUGUCUGCUGAUGGAAUGUGAAGAAAAUCAUAUUUAAGAAACCGAUUCUACUAUUAAGAAAGAAGAUUUUUCCAAACAGGAUGCGGUGACUUUCGUUUUGAACUGAGAAAAGCAAAAUUUAAUAUUUCUACAUUAGUUUUACGUAUUAUUUACUUAAAUUGUCAAAUUCUGUAUUGAUUGUUGUUGAAAUCAAAUAUUAGUAGCUAACUGUCCAGUAAUAUAUUUUAAAGAAAAUUAUUGUAAAUGAAAUACGAAAAGUUAUGAAAUGUCAAAAAUAAUUGAAAUUAAAACUUCUGUAAAAACGAAGACAUGGUCGCUCUACGCCACCAUUCAAAAUUCAUCACAUUGGAGGAAGGAUAGUAAUGGACAGUGACGGUUUAGGAUUAGGGAUGAACUUUUCAGGAAACGGUAUCAAAAUAUACUAGAUCCGAAGAUGCAAUUGCCACAGUUGGAUAGAAAAUAGUGAAAGAAAUAUUGUUAGAAUUAUGGUAUAAGCGUAAGAAUAGUAGAAAAUCAGUUCAAGAACAAAAGAAUGUGUAAGACAAAUGUAGUGAAAGCGAACUGAUAUAAUUUUGAUGGUAAAAAUAAUCAAUGGAAUGAAAAACAUCAACAAUGAGCUAGAAACAUCAUGGAGUUAAUAAUAUGAAAGAAGAAAAUUUAUUUAUCAGUAAAACAGAAGCGCGUGUAUUCAAAAAUUGUGUAAUUUUUUUGGAAAAGUAUUUAGCAAAAGAAAAAUCGUAAUACCCCGUGUAUUUUGGUAAUAAACGAAGAGAUGCCGCAUAUUUAAUGGCUGGUAAUGAGCGAGGAGAUGCAAAUUUAAUAAUCUAAUAAUCAAUAACAGUAACAUGUUAAUACACAUAAUUUUAUAGUAAUAAAAUUCGGGUUGUAAUCAAAUCUUUAAAUCAUCAGGAUCACGGAUGAAAGAUUGCUUGUCUGAAUGUUUGAGUGAGAUUGUUCCCACAACGUCUGUCUGUCUGUCUGUCCAUUCAUCUGCCCGUACGAUGAGAGCGUCUGAAAAAAAUCCCAAUCGUUAAAUAGUAUUAAAAAUCUGGUUUUGUGCGAAGACCGAAAUGCUGUGACGACACCUUUGCUUCCAUUGUACGUAUACGAGGAGGGACUUCUUAUCCUGUCAUAUGAAAAACGAACAGAAAUCAUCAUUUUCCAUCUCCCCCUGUGUAUAACAAUGGUCGAAAUGGGAGAGAUGACCCUCGCUUAGUACGUUGAAGCACUGGUUUUGGUUUCAGCAUAAUUUUUCCUCUUUGCGGCGUUUCGUAACAUCCACAAUACUUAACGUUAACGGAAAGGAUUCAUCCCAUUAACGAAUUUGAACCCUGAAAAAGACAACUUCAUACACAAGAAGUUUCAAUUGAUCGAUCCCUACUUUUUAUGAAGCUUUUGCACCUAUUUCUAACGAUUUUAUAUCACCCACCUGGAUAAUAAUAUCAUGGUUAUUUUGAGUGAAGAAAACUUUUACUUUACCUUUUCCCCUUGUUAAAUACCUUGGAAUAAAUAUAAACAGUCUUUAAUAAAGCGGUUUUUAUUGCUA